CUGUGUUUUUGGUAGACAAAGAGAGCAAAUUGAUAUUUUUAGUACUUGGACUUAUAGAGCCUAUCUCUGAUAUGAAAAUGAGAAAAUCCAUUUUUUGAGCAGGGUCAUUAGUAGUACUAGUUUUCUUGGUAUGUUAAAUUUCAGGGGUCUUUCAUUCUUUUCACAAUGGAUUCAACACUUCUCUCAGUAGAUUUUGUUUCCUUUUCAUUUCGCUUCAACCGCGCUAAUUAUGAAUUCUUACCCUCUCCAUGAGAAUAGGUUGUUUUGGAUAUCUAUGGCAUCAUCAAAAUCUCGUUUAUACGAAAUUUAUGCUGCAAACCACUGGAAGCCACUUUUGUUCGAAUGUUUCGAGCAAGGCCCCUGCCACAUAAGGCUGUUCACUUUCAAGGUGAAAGUUGAGGUAAAAUUACAACCCUCCACUACGGAUUUGGAAUGCGACUUAAGAAGAAGACAGCAGCACAAGAGGCAGCUGAAGGGGCACUCAUGUACUUGAAGCAUUUAGGCUAUCAUUAGCUGCGCAAACGAAGAAAGAAAAUAUAUGGUGGUCUAAAUUUAGGUCAUUUCAUUAAGCUACUGAUCUCUACUUACUUCUGGAGUAGGUAUGGCUAGAGAUGGUAAUUAAUCGGUAGGUGUAGGCUGCUAAAGCCGUCUUGUUGUCUGUUAACGGUUUUUGCUUGGUCUGUUGAUGGAAGUUCCGGCUCAGGUGGUAGCAACUUAUGUUGGCGGUGGAGAUGGGCUGAAACUAGGUGAUCUUUUGAGGGUGAUGUUUUGGGAAUAUACAACAGGAUCAGAAUCGCCGUCGAUCAGGAGGUAGAACUUAUCAUUUGCAGAAGCUUCCUCGGUGCAUGUUUCUUUUUGUGGGUUUUGUUUUUGGAAGCAUAGUGGAAAUAGGGUGGCUCAUAGUUUACCUAUACACUAGACAGGGCCUUCUUUUUUCCUUUUCUAUGAUCAACAAGAUCCUAUUGUUUGGCCCAAAAUUUGUCACCAAAAGAAUGAAAAAAAUCCAGUGACAAAAGAAAAGCAGUCAAACCUACCGAAAAGUUAGCCUUUUUUGUCGUUUUUAUAUGAGGUUUUUUCAACUUUGGUCUAUAAUUUUAUUUUUCGAUCGUUCUCUUCGAAACGAGUGAUUGUUGUAAUAAUUUGACCCACAUCUAAUAAACAUUAAGGCAAAACAAUAGUAAAAAA